GAUGAAGAACGUAGCGAAAUGCGAUACUUGGUGUGAAUUGCAGAAUCCCGUGAACCAUCGAGUCUUUGAACGCAAGUUGCGCCCGAAGCCAUUAGGCCGAGGGCACGCCUGCCUGGGCGUCACACGUCGUUGCCCCCCCAUCUACUCCUUCGGGAUUGCGGGGGGCGAAUGAUGGCCUCCCGUGCGCCUCGUCGCGCGGUUGGCCUAAAUGCCAAGUCCUCGGCGACGCACGCCACGACAAUCGGUGGUUGCGAAACCUCGGUUGCCCGUCGUGUGCGGUCGUCGCGCAUCGAGGGCUCGAAAAAAUUGCCGGGCUUCGGCUCGACUUUCAACGCGACCCCAGGUCAGGCGGGGUUACCCGCUGAAUUUAAGCAUAUCAAUAAGCGGAGGA
rnacentral:misc_RNA from 1 species